rnacentral:rRNA from 1 species
GACGAACGCUGGCGGCGUGCUUAACACAUGCAAGUCGAGCGGUAAGGCCCUUUCGGGGGUACGACGAGCGGCGAACGGGUGAGUAACACGUGGGUGACCUGCCCUCAGCUCUGGGAUAAGCCUGGGAAACCGGGUCUAAUACUGGAUAUGACUCCAUGACGCAUGUUGUGGGGUGGAAAGCCUUGUGCGGCUGAGGAUGGGCCCGCGGCCUAUCAGCUUGUUGGUGGGGUGAGGCCUACCAAGGCGACGACGGGUAGCCGGCCUGAGAGGGCGACCGGCCACACUGGGGACUGAGACACGGCCCAGACUCCUACGGGAGGCAGCAGUGGGGAAUCUUGCGCAAUGGGCGAAAGCCUGACGCAGCGACGCCGCGUG